GGCGCGCAGGUAUAACUUAUCCCAGCUUGUGGUUAGCUGCGUGCUGCAAGAACUAAAUAAUUUGUUUAAUAUAAGGAUUCGCAACCCUCCGAAGAGGCACAAGAAUUGUUUUUAACUGGCUGCACUUUAUGGGGGAGAGGGGACCAUGGCCUGGGCUCCUGCCCCAUCACAACCAUGAGAUGGGAGGCAAGAGUGUAAAUACCUGUGGUGCUCAUACAGUAUAUAGUUGUUGGAGUUGGGAGCAC